rnacentral:rRNA from 1 species
GACGAACGCUGGCGGCGUGCUUAACACAUGCAAGUCGAACGGAAAGGCCCUGCUUUUGUGGGGUGCUCGAGUGGCGAACGGGUGAGUAACACGUGAGUAACCUGCCCUUGACUUUGGGAUAACUUCAGGAAACUGGGGCUAAUACCGGAUAGGAGCUCCUGCUGCAUGGUGGGGGUUGGAAAGUUUCGGCGGUUGGGGAUGGACGCGCGGCUUAUCAGCUUGUUGGUGGGGUAGUGGCUUACCAAGGCUUUGACGGGUAGCCGGCCUGAGAGGGUGACCGGCCACAUUGGGACUGAGAUACGGCCCAGACUGCUACGGGAGGCAGCAGUGGGGAAUAUUGCACAAUGGGAGGAAGCCUGAUGCAGCAACGCCGCGUGCGGGAUGACGGCCUUCGGGUUGUAAACCGCUUUCGCCUGUGACGAAGCGUGAGUGACGGUAAUGGGUAAAGAAGCACCGGCUAACUACGUG